CUUUAGCCCCGAUUAAAACGAAAAUCCUCUUGUACUGGGGUUCAGUACAAGAGAUUGUAGUGGAAAGCGGGAACAAUG
rnacentral:sRNA from 1 species